UCGAGAAUCUUCCGCAAUGGACGCAAGUCUGACGGAGCGACGCCGCGUGCGGGAUGAAGGCCUUCGGGUUGUAAACCGCUGUCAGUGGGGAGGAAAUGCAUGGGGGUACUCCCCUGUGUUUGACCGAUCCGCAGAGGAAGCACAGGCUAAGUUCGUGCCAGCAGCCGCGGUAACACGAACUGUGCAAACGUUAUUCGGAAUUACUGGGCUUAAAGAGUUCGUAGGCGGCUUGUUAAGUCGGGUGUGAAAUCCCGCGUCUCAACCGAGGAAUUGCGCUCGAAACUGGCGAGCUUGAGUGAGAUAGAGGUGAGCGGAACUGAUGGUGGAGCGGUGAAAUGCGUUGAUAUCAUCAGGAACACCGGUUGCGAAGGCGGCUCACUGGGUCUUGACUGACGCUGAGGAACGAAAGCUAGGGGAGCGAACG
rnacentral:rRNA from 1 species